GUAGGCGGUUUGGUAAGUCGGAUGUGAAAUCCCUGGGAUGAACAGGGGAAUGGCAUUCGAUACUGUCAGGCUAGAGUAGGAUAGAGGAGAGGGGAAUUCCGCGUGUAGCAGUGAAAUGCGUAGAUAUGCGGAGGAACACCAAUGGCGAAGGCACCUCUCUGGGUCCAUACUGACGCUGAGAUGCGAAAGCGUGGGGAGCAAACAG
rnacentral:rRNA from 1 species